AUUGAACGCUGGCGGCAGGCCUAACACAUGCAAGUCGAACGAGUGGCGGACGGGUGAGUAAUGUCUGGGAAACUGCCUGAUGGCGGGGGAUAACUACUGGAAAAGGUAGCUAAUACCGCAUACCAUCAGAUGUGCCCAGAUGGGAUUAGCUAGUUGGUGGGGUAACGGCUCACCAAGGCGACGAUCCGUAGCUGGUUUGAGAGGAUGACCAGCCAACCUGGAACGGAGCAACGGUCCAGACUCCUACGGGGGGCAGCAGUGGGGAAUAUUGCACAAUGGGCGAAAGCCUGAUUCAGCCAUGCCGCGUGUUUGAAGAAGGCCUUCGGGUUGUAAAGUACUUUCAGCGGGGAGGCGUUACCUGCAGAAUAAGCACCGGCUAACUCCGUGCCAGCAGCCGCGGUAAUAC
rnacentral:rRNA from 1 species